GAUGAACGCUGGCGGCGUGCCUAACACAUGCAAGUCGAACGGAGAUUACGGACGGAAGUUUUCGGAUGGAAGACUGUAAUUCUUAGUGGCGGACGGGUGAGUAACGCGUGGGCAACCUGCCCUAUACAGGGGGAUAGCAGCUGGAAACGGCUGGUAAGACCGCAUAAGUCGGCGAGACCGCAUGGUUUUGCCGGGAAAUGAGCAAUCAGGUAUAGGAUGGGCCCGCGUCCGAUUAGCCAGUUGGCAGGGUAAAAGCCUACCAAAGCAACGAUCGGUAGCCGGACUGAGAGGGCGGACGGCCACAUUGGGACUGAGACACGGCCCAAACUCCUACGGGAGGCAGCAGUGGGGGAUAUUGCACAAUGGAGGAAACUCUGAUGCAGCGACGCCGCGUGAGUGAAGAAGUAGUUCGGUAUGUAAAGCUCUAUCAGCAGGGAAGAUGAUGACGGUACCUGACUAAGAAGCCCCGGCUAACUACGUG
rnacentral:rRNA from 1 species